UCCACAUCCAAGUAUCGUUAUGCCAAAGUCCCAUAGCUGAGACAACAGCAUCUUGCUGUCCAGAUUUGCAAUAUAAAGUCGGAUACACAGUGCACAAAGGUGACAAUCCUAUCCAUUUUUCCUUCCAAAAUCCUAUAUCAUUGCCAUCGCCAAGAAUAUUGCUAAUAUUAUUACCGAACCAGCCCCCAUCAUCCUUAUU
rnacentral:lncRNA from 1 species